GAGAAUUUAGAAGUCCGGCGCUUUAAGAAAGAAAAGAAUUUUGAAUGGAAUGGUUUUGAGCAUAAAUUUCUUGGUAAAAAACCUUCGCCCAAUUUUGAAUUGUCAAGACAAGAGCUUUAUGUAAGAGCAGAAGCCCCAAAAGGUGAAUUAGGGAUUUAUCUAGUAGGAGAUGAUAGCCUUUUCUCCUGGAGAUUUAAAAUCCGUCCACCUGGGUUUAUUAAUUUGCAAAUUCUUCCUCGGCUAGUUAAAAAAAUGAAAUUGGCUGAUAUCAUGACGAUAUUAGGUAGUAUAGACAUCAUUAUGGGGGAAGUUGAUCAUUGA
rnacentral:rRNA from 1 species